UACGAAGGGGGCAAGCGUUGUUCGGAAUUACUGGGCGUAAAGCGUGCGCAGGCGGUUUUGUAAGCCAGAUGUGAAAUCCCCGGGCUUAACCUGGGAAUGGCAUUUGGGACUGCAAGGCUGGAGUGUGGCAGAGGAGACUGGAAUUCCUGGUGUAGCAGUGAAAUGCGUAGAUAUCAGGAGGAAUACCGAUGGCGAAGGCAGGUCUCUGGGCUGACACUGACGCUCAUGCACGAAAGCGUGGGGAGCAAACAGG
rnacentral:rRNA from 1 species